GUGUCAGCAGCCGCGGUAAUACAGGGGGUGCAAACGUUGCUCGGAAUCAUUGGGCGUAAAGCGCGCGUAGGCGGUUACUUAAGUCGGAUGUGAAAGCCCCUGGCUCAACUGGGGAAGUGCAUCCGAAACUGAGUAGCUGGAGUACGAAAGAGGGUCGCGGAAUUCCCGGUGUAGAGGUGAAAUUCGUAGAUAUCGGGAGGAACACCGGUGGCGAAGGCGGCGACCUGGGUCGAUACUGACGCUGAGGCGCGAAAGCGUGGGGAGCAAACAGGAUUAGAUACCCGCGUAGUCC
rnacentral:rRNA from 1 species